rnacentral:rRNA from 1 species
CCUUCGGGCUAGUGGCGGACGGGUGAGUAACACGUGGGUAACCUGCCUCGUAGUGGGGAAUAACUCGCCGAAAGGCGAGCUAAUACCGCAUAACACCCCCGGUGAGAAUCCGGGUGGUAAAAGCUCCGGCGCUACGAGAGGGGCCCGCGGCCGAUUAGCUUGUUGGUGGGGUAAUGGCCUACCAAGGCGACGAUCGGUAGCUGGUCUGAGAGGAUGGUCAGCCACACGGGGACUGAGAUACGGCCCCG